AUUUUUCCUCUUUAUUCCCCUUCUCUUCCUCCUUACCUCUGCUCUCACACAUCCUUCGUCCCCUCUUACCAACCCUCUCCCAUAUUUCUCCCCACUUCCUCCAUGCCCUCCUGUUCUACUCCCUCCACCACCACCCACCAAAGCUCUCUGGUGGAUGUGAGCUGACAGUGGUCCUCCAGGACUUCAGUGCGGGCCACAGCAGCGAGCUGACCAUCCAGGUGGGGCAGACGGUAGAGCUGCUGGAACGGCCCAGCGAGCGGCCCGGUUGGUGUCUGGUCCGUACCACCGAACGGAGCCCACCCUUGGAGGGUCUGGUCCCCAGCAGCACCCUGUGCAUCUCACACUCCCGAAGCAGCGUGGAGAUGGACUGCUUCUUCCCCUUGGUGAAAGAUGCAUACUCUCAUUCCUCAAGUGAGAAUGGAGGCAAGUCCGAGUCCGUGGCCAACCUGCAGGCCCAGCCCUCCCUGAACUCCAUCCACAGUUCCCCGGGUCCCAAGCGCUCCACCAACACUCUUAAGAAGUGGCUGACGAGUCCUGUGCGUCGGCUCAACAGCGGGAAGGCAGAUGGA
rnacentral:sRNA from 1 species